UACAGGGGGUGCAAACGUUGCUCGGAAUUAUUGGGCGUAAAGCGCGCGUAGGCGGAUUGUUAAGUCAGGGGUGAAAUCCUGGAGCUCAACUCCAGAACUGCCUUUGAUACUGGCGAUCUUGAGUCCGGGAGAGGUGAGUGGAACUGCGAGUGUAGAGGUGAAAUUCGUAGAUAUCGGGAGGAACACCGGUGGCGAAGGCGGCGACCUGGGUAGAUACUGACGCUGAGGUGCGAAAGCGUGGGGAGCAAACAGG
rnacentral:rRNA from 1 species